AGAGCGAACGCUGGCGGCAGGCCUAAUACAUGCAAGUCGAACGCACCUUCGGGUGAGUGGCGGACGGGUGAGUAACACGUGGGAACGUGCCUUUGGUUCGGAAUAAUCCGGGGAAACCUGGCCUAAUACCGGAUGUGCCCCCUCCUUUAACCAGGGGGUGGGAAAGAUUUAUCGCCAUUAGAGCGGCCCGCGUCUGAUUAGCUUGUUGGUGAGGUAAAGGCUCACCAAGGCUACGAUCAGUAGCUGGUCUGAGAGGAUGAUCAGCCACACUGGGACUGAGACACGGCCCAGACUCCUACGGGAGGCAGCAGUAGGGAAUCUUGCGCAAUGGGCGAAAGCCUGACGCAGCCAUGCCGCGUGAAUGAUGAAGGCCCUAGGGUUGUAAAGCUCUUUUGUGCGGGAAGAUAAUGACGGUACCGCAAGAAUAAGCCCCGGCUAACUUCGUGCCAGCAGCCGC
rnacentral:rRNA from 1 species